AUGCUUACUUCAGCAGCACAUAUACUAAAAUUGGAAUGGUACAGAGAAGAUUAACAUAGUUCCUGCACAAGGAAAGGGAGUGGAAAGUCACAAACUUUUUUU
ensembl:snRNA U6 U6 spliceosomal RNA